UGUCCUUUUAGUCUAGUGGUAAGGACAUCGCCUUUUCACGGCGGAAACGGGGGUUCAAUUCCCCCAAAGGAUAAC
rnacentral:tRNA from 1 species